rnacentral:tRNA from 1 species
GGCGAUGUAGCUCAGUGGUAGAGCACACGACUCAUAAUCGUGCUGUCGCUGGUUCGAUCCCAGCCAUCGCCACCA